rnacentral:rRNA from 1 species
AUUGAACGCUGGCGGCAGGCCUAACACAUGCAAGUCGAGCGGUAACACAGGGAGCUUGCUCCCGGGUGACGAGCGGCGGACGGGUGAGUAAUGUCUGGGAAACUGCCUGAUGGAGGGGGAUAACUACUGGAAACGGUAGCUAAUACCGCAUAACGUCGCAAGACCAAAGAGGGGGACCUUCGGGCCUCUUGCCAUCAGAUGUGCCCAGAUGGGAUUAGCUAGUAGGUGGGGUAACGGCUCACCUAGGCGACGAUCCCUAGCUGGUCUGAGAGGAUGACCCGCCACACUGGAACUGAGACACGGUCCAGACUCCUACGGGAGGCAGCAGUGGGGAAUAUUGCACAAUGGGCGCAAGCCUGAUGCAGCCAUGCCGCGUGUAUGAAGAAGGCCUUCGGGUUGUAAAGUACUUUCAGCGGGGAGGAAGGCGAUAAGGUCAAUAACCUUGUCGAUUGACGUUACCCGCAGAAGAAGCACCGGCUAACUCCGUGCCAGCCGCCGCCGUAAAAC